AUGGGAUGCUCAGGGCUGUUGAUUUUGGGCUUUGUCCUAAGUGUGUCUCACUGCUUGGACAUGUUGGAUAUGGAGGAGGACAUGGAGAUUGACCGUAACGUCACUGGGAUCCUUGGAGAGGAUGUCUUCCUCCGCUGUCAGUACCUGGGACCGAAUGACAUCACAGACGCCUCAUGGAAACGCCCAGACUCUAGAAUGAAGCGAUCAAUGAAGAAAUUAACAGGCUACAAGAACAACAAGGCUUUCAGCAAAGACCCAGACUUCUCCGCCCCAGCCUCUCCCACCAAUCUGACUGUGAAGAUGAGGGUGUCUACUCUGGAGGCCCAGGGGGAGUACACAUGUGUGUUCGCCACCGAUGAAGAGGAGAUCACUAACAGCAUGUUUCUCACUGUUCUGGCUCGACCUGAUAUCCACACAGUGGUGACAGAGGACACAGACAACGCUACCCACUACCAGUCAGUCACAUGCUCAGCUACCAAUGGUAAACCUGUGGCUCUGAUUCGCUGGGAGAUCAACGGCAGCCCUCCUACUGACGACUCCUCUGUGGAGAUGAGGAACACCAGUUAUACCAAUGGCACUGCCACUGUGACCAGCUUACUCCGCUUCCCCACCCACCUACAGGACCAGGACAGGGUGACCUGUGUGGUCCAGCACCCAACCCUGCCUGACCCCACCACACAUGUCACAGUGAGGGUGGAGACCUUCGUGGCUCCCAAUGUGACCAUUGAGACAUACCUGGUUCUAGAGGAAGGGGAGAAGUUCUGGGUGGUCACCUGUGGUGCGGCCGGAGGGCGACCCCGAGCUGACAUCACCCUGGUGCUGCCCAAUCAGGAGGUCAGUUCCAUGCUACAGAAGGAGGUUGUCAUGGAUGCAGCAGACACAUGGGUCAGGUCAUACCGCUUCCCAGCUGAGCUUCAUGAAGGGGAAAACAUCACCUGCCUGUUUGACCACCCCAAGUUCCCACACGGAGAGCUUCGGACCGUCACUUUGCCGGCAUUCUCUCUGUCUGCUGUUCGGCUGCAGAACCCAGGGUUGGCAGACAGCAGCAACAAGAGCCAGGCUGUAGAGUCAGUGGUUCUGGAGGAAGGACAGAGCAAAACCACCAUCGGGCUAGAGGUCAUUGGGGAUGUACCACGUUACAGUAUAGUAUGCACCAAAGAAGAGCAGUCUCUCCCUGAGGGUGUGGCAGUAUUUGGCAGUGCUCUAACCCUGCAGGGUCCUGUCGAGCUCUACCAUGCAGGGCUGUAUGAGUGUGAGGCCUCCUACUACAGCCACAGGGCAUCUGUACUGCUGGACAUUACCGUUAACCCACAUGUCAAGCAGCCUGUGACUGUUCCUCCCAGCAUAAGGAUUGAUGUCCAGGAUAGACUGGGUGACAGAUUCAUUGAGUGCCUGGCUGCAGACUCCGUCCCUGUUGCCAAUGUGUCCUGGGUUCUACCUGAGGGUGUGUCUGGGCCCUCCUGGUCCAGUCUCACAUCCCAUAAUGGAACCUAUUCUGUCAGCAGUGUGUUAGUGCUGCCUGCCUGCUCAGCCCAGGAGCUCAAUAUGGAGUGUGUGAUAGAUCAUACUGUGUUUGUGUUGCCAGAGAGAAGACAGAUAACACUCCCUGUGUGUGCUCCUCCUAACAUCACCAUCCAAUCCAGCUCUGAGUGGGAGGAAGAUGUAGCAUACACACUGGUGCAGUGCACUGUGGACAAUGUUGGACCUGCUGCCACCAUCUCCUGGAGUCUUGGAGACUGGGACAGUGACAAUAGUACCAGUCAGCUCAUGGAGGUGCAGGAGCAGCAGGUUCACAGGCAGCCUGAGCUCCAUGCCAAUGGCUCUGUGACGGUCCGUAGUGUGUUGAGGUUCCCCACUUCCAUGUUCUCUGGUCAGAAUGUCACCUGUGUGGUGGAUCACCUGGGUCUUGAGAAGCCAGAGAGAACAGGGAUACUGCUGCGUGGACUGGGUAAUUUACUUUAUGACUUGUAG
rnacentral:lncRNA from 1 species